GAGAGACUGUGUAGAGGUAGGCAAAAAAAAAUCUAAAGUUUAGUUUCAUGUGCUCGCGUGUAAGUUUCAUGUGAAAAGGUUUUGCGUGCGCACACGAAACUUU